AGAUGCAAGCUGCCGGUAGCCGCGGCGGUGGUCGUGGCGGCCGAGGAGGCGGAAGGGGGAUGGGCAGACCGCAGAACGGCUACGGCGGGCGCGGCGGAGGAUACGGCAACUACGGUGGCGGCGGCUAUGGGGGCAACGACGGCUACGGUGGUGGCUAUGGAGGCGGAUACGGUGGCGGGUAUGGGGGAGGCUACGGGGACCAAAUGGAAGGCUACGGCGGUGGUAACGGCUACAAUGACUUUGGCAGCGGCUAUGGCCAGCAGUCCUCUGGCUAUGGCCCAAUGAAAGAGGGUAAACAGUGGAAUGAUUUAAGUAAAAUCCCACUUCUAAGAGCAGCUGCUUGAUGAACUUCUGCUGCAGCUGUGAAUCCAGUUGCUCUGAAAAAUGAAGGAUGAACUCCGUCAGUGACUUUGUCUGGCAGAGAUUGCUUUGCAACAUGUAUGCAAGAUGCCCGUGGGCCUACAAGAAGCAAGAAUGUCCAUGAUCAACGGUGAUGGCAGUGAUGAUGCUGUUCUCUGUCUCUGGGAGAUGGCUUCAAAUGGAUCUUUUGACUGUAGCGGAAUCGGAAGUUGUUAAAGGCGGCUGAAUCUUUUGCACUUGUGCUUAUGGACAAGAAUGAACAUUUAAAUGAAUGUUUGAUGUGAUUUCAAUAAAAUAAAUUAAAUUGAUAUUU